rnacentral:rRNA from 1 species
GUGGGGAAUCUUGCGCAAUGGGCGAAAGCCUGACGCAGCCAUGCCGCGUGAAUGAUGAAGGUCUUAGGAUUGUAAAAUUCUUUCACCGGGGACGAUAAUGACGGUACCCGGAGAAGAAGCUCCGGCUAACUUCGUGCCAGCAGCCGCGGUAAUACGAAGGGGGCUAGCGUUGCUCGGGAUUACUGGGCGUAAAGGGCGCGUAGGCGGACAGCUUAGUCAGAGGUGAAAGCCCAGGGCUCAACCUUGGAAUUGCCUUUGAUACUGGCUGUCUUGAGUUUGGGAGAGGUGAGUGGAACUCCGAGUGUAGAGGUGAAAUUCGUAGAUAUUCGGAAGAACACCAGUGGCGAAGGCGACUCACUGGCCCAAUACUGACGCUGAGGCGCGAAAGCGUGGGGAGCAAACAGGAUUAGAUACCCGGGUAGUCC